GCCUGUCAUUGAACAUCCUAUCACUUCUCCUUAUUCUAUUUCAGAAUGAAAAAUGAGCACAAGAUUGCCUUUUCUGCUAAUUGCCUUGUUCUCUACCCACCCACAGCUAUUUCUACCUCUUUACUAAUAUUUGAGUAGCAUUUGGCUUCAAAAUUUCAGGAAUUUUUCAGUCGGACAACUAGCUAUGUCAUAUGGUGUUUUGAUGCAAUAAUUCAAGCUAUUAAGGAUCAUUGGUUUCAUCUGCUCUGUAUAUUUCUGGUUCAUCUUUUAGAACAUAAUUUCCAUUUCAGUUCCAACAAUACUGUAGAGACAAGGGGAUACACAAUGAGCAUCUUGAACUGAACUGAUUGGUGCCUGAAAUUCCUGCCUUUUAUAUAUAUCUGUGACUGUAGCUUCUAAACACAGGAAACUGUCUUUUCACAAUGACAGUUAAUGCUGAUGAGUGGUUAGAAAAUAUCUCUGAUGAUGCAUGUGAUAAUGUUACUUUACAGUAAUUUAUAAUGGGACAAUAGUCCCAUUAACAAGUGAUUCACUUGAGCUACAAGCAUUUAAUCGUAUUUACAACACAAUAGAGUUAUGCUCUUCUUCAAGUAACAAUGUUUGUUGCAAAUCAUUGAGCCAGUAUAUAUGUAUGUUACAAGUUUCCUUUUUAAAGUUUCUAUUUCCAGGUGGCCUUGGAUGUAAAAGGUGCCCCUUUCACAUCUUGUCUAUGCUAUAAUGUUAUCUAUCGCUGUCAACCACAGCUGCAGCCAGCCUGGUACUUCAGUGAUUUUAGAGCAAGUGUGGACAAGAACAAAGCUACAUUCAGUGAUUUUUUUCAGGAUGCCCUGGACAAUAGUCUAAUGACCAACCUUUAUCCUCUGCAGUAGUAGCUAAUGGUUAGCUGCACCUUUGUCUGAAACCCACUCUUCUGUAGAACAGAAAAAUAUAUAAAGCUGAAGUGCUUACUGGGGAAUAUGACAUGCCCUUCCACGUCCUAAAAAAUAGAGUCAUGUGAAUUAGCUAAUGUUACUUUUUUGAAUACUGUUAAUUUCAUUUCUGAAUAAGGUGUCUAUUCUAGGGUCCUUCUCCAUUAAUUCCAGGGGAAAAUCAAAGAGAUCUUGAAGCUUAUGUAAGUUUAAAUCAGAGAAGAGAUAAAAGAUUUGGAAUAAAUAUUCCAAAGCUGCAGUGUUAGAAGGAGAAUAAAAAUUCUUCAUCCUUGAAUGGCUGUAGCUGUGCCAUGGUUGUGAUUCAUUACCAGAACAAGAACAAACACGUUUUUGAAGGCUGCACAUUCCCUGUAACUGAAAUAUAACAAGGCAGAGAACAUUGUGCCUCUACCUCCAAACCAGGAUUAGACUUUAUCUUCAGACUAAGGAUUCUACCACUGGCCGUUUUACUGAUUUGAUUGGUGGAAAAUGUAGAUGGUUUGGAUCACAUACAGUUGGCGUGACUUGUACAGCUUCUUUGACGAUGUUGUUACCACAACUGCCAUAGCACUUUCCUGUGUAGAUAGGCAUGAUUUUACACAGAAAGUAAGAUGUGCCCUAGCAGAAUCGUGGGAAAGAAGUUCUCUAAAUGUACAUGCCUUUAGCUGUGUGAACUAGUGGUGCAAAAGCUACUGCGCUUUUCCAAAAUGUGAGGUGAAGCUCUUCUCACAGUGAAUCCUGCAUUGUUAGGCCACAGACUCAAAUCUGCCAUAAACAGCGGACAACAUCUUCACAAGAAAGAACCACAAUCCUACAGCAAAGCCCAAGGAUAAAUGCAGUCUGUUCAUGGAAGAAAAGCUACCUGGCAAAAGGAUUAUUCUUAAACUAGAUCAUUUCAAUGGCCUCAACCGGCAGAGUGGUGAACUGCAGUGAAACAUGACGACCGGAGGAAGACAGAAAAGACUUCUUAAACAGCUUGCUACAGAAGAGAGCCACAUCUUCAGGCAUACAGCGGUGUCUAUAAGAACUUGCUAAAUACUGCCGGUGUCCUUGCAGCCUUGCUCUCUAGUCUUUAACUAAAUCAGAUGCUAUCAGACUCCUCAUUAAGUUUAGAAAGUCUGUGAAGGGGAGGUAGGAAACUCUUCAGACAGCCUUACCUGACAGUUAGGGAAGUGUUAAUUUUCCUUGUCUUUUGCCUAGCCACAGGUAGGCAUUGUUUGCCAUUAAUUUUAAGCUGCCUGCUAAUACUUAAAUUAAAACUCUUCAGAGACUUUAUUUUUUAGUGCUUGAGAAGUCAUUUGACAGCUCAUGAAGUGGCAGGUGAGUACUGGCAAGAUUGAAGACUAGGUGUUGUCCAAGGGCAAAUGUACUUGGCAAGGAAAUCAAGCAAAUUUGCAACUAAAACAGCUGGUCAUGACAUGCUAUACUUAAAGUAAAUGACACUUAGGGUGGCCCAUUCUAACUAUAUAAGGAGCCAAGUACAAGCUUGCUCUAUGUGCAUUGCCAGACUUUUAUCCGGGGGAGGAGGGGGGUAAUGGGAGGAAGGGUAGAACGAAGAGAUAAAGAUGAUAUGCGGUCUCAGAAUAAAGGGUUUUGAAAGACUGAUGGCCUAGGUUUCAGAUAUUAAGGGCACAUCUGUACUAAUAAAUUGAACAGUAACAGCAAAUGGGAAUGACCCCGGGAACAUUUUUGUCCAUACUGUGACAUUUUAGCAAGGUCCUUGACUUGAACUUGGCUUAGGCCAAAUAGUGUUCUUCCAGAUAAUUCCUAGGCCUGAUCUGGAAGUCAGCAUGCACCAGGAACUAUUUGCAAAAGGCAGUUUGGAUGGACCAUUCAGUUUGGAGGCUAAAAGAGUUUAAUAGUAUGGAUAUAGGUUGUUCUGUGCCAAUGGUCCUCAGGGCAGCUAAUCAGUUCAGACAUGGUUUAUAUUAUUCAUGUAGGAAUAGUGUAAGAGUCUAAAUGGAAUUUGACUUUGAACGGGAAUUUUUAACCUUGGCAUAACAUAAAAAGUGAAAUUUUUAUAUAUGCUUCUACAAUGUGUAUGUACAGGUCUGAGGUAGUCACAAUAGACUCGCUUUUAGUCAAAUGGAGUCACAUUUAAAUGACUUAGAAGACCUAUCCAGUUUUAUAUAAUUUAGAUAGCUAACUAACAGUCUCUGGUUAGCCCCAAACUAUCUGUCUUUGGGCAUCUUCUGGAAUUGGCCAUGAGAUUGCUUGAUUUUCUUUUCCUUAGCAUCCGUUGUAGCCCAGGUCAUAGUAACCUUAAAGGAUAUAUGGUAUAAUGAUAUCCAGAUGAUUGGUUGUAAUCCAUCAGUACUCUUAAAUUGUCUGGGAUCAUAGAAAAACCCUUCCUUCUGACAUAUCUUCCUGAAGUAUAAACCUGGCUCUGAGAGGGAACUGAUGUCAUGUUGAAUUCAGUCAACAAGGGCAAUUGUUUGCCAUUCACGAAGAUAUUCUUGCCUCUCAUCCUCUGUGUUUUCCUUUGUGAUUUUGCUGUGCCUUCUUCAGCCUGUCUUUCCCCAUCUAGGAAGGAUCUUGUAACUGCAGCUUCAGCCUGGCAUUGUCAUGCUCAGAUGUGGGCCUGCCUCAUCCCUGGUAUCUCUGAAUCCCCUCUCCAGCUUGGCAUCUUUCACUGAACACUUCUCAUGACUGUUAUUUGUGUUGACUAGUGAUGACAGCCUCUUCUCUGUCACUUCGCUUCCUCUUUUAUCUAGGCUCCAGAUUGAUUUUGGACAUAGGCCAGUGACAGAGCUAAAAACAAAAGAUGCUUCAUAAAUUUCUGUGCCUAUUUACACUUAUAUAUAAUUCAGCUCCCCCACUGGGUCAGUGGAACUGGCAGUGAUAUGUUAGCAGGAAGCAACACAGGUUGACUUGCUGUCAAGGCAGUCAUAAGGGUGAGUUUACAGAGCUUGGAACUGUGAGGAAAACAUCUUUUUACUUGACACUUAAGUAAAGCUGAGCUGGAGUAGCUGAGACAUAAUGAACAUAGAACCUCUGCAAGAUGCCAUUUUUAGA